UAGGGGUAGGUAUAAACCUUCAUUCAUCUUCUUCGAUCUUCCUUGGAAUAUCCAUCAUCUUGGUCUCGACCUUGUUGAGCUCUCCCUGAUCGAAAGUUCCUAUUUUACUGCCUCUUCGAUCGUCUCCAACUCCCUAAAAAAAAGAUUGGUGACCUAGAUAGUCAGGUUCUUUCCUUACCUUAGCUAAGCCUUAUGUCCCUUCAACAUUCCUAUUCAUCUUGCCUUGUCUAGCUCUACCAUAUCUUUUGUUUCAUUUCUUCUGGAACAAUCACAAACACUUUUUUGAUUAUGGAUCUACUACCAUAAAUUCAAUGCGUAAUCUCAGCAAGUACGGAACGAGCCUUGUCUACAAAGCAGAGCGACCUCAUCUUGCUUGCAAGUGGAUUAAAUCCAGUAGUUAGGGAAGCCAGUACGCAUACAGGAAGUGGUAAAGCUGCAGUAGAGUUGGCAUUUGAUUGCCCUAUUGUUUACUUGAAAUUCCUAUCUAUUCUUGAUCCAUCAAAAAAAAAUCGUUUGUAUCUUCGGGAUAGGAGUUGGCAGUCUUCUUUAAGAGAACUUCAAUCUAAUACUCAUUAUGGAUCAACUCAUAUUUCCACUCUAUUUUCAUUACGAGGAUGUAUCACAUCAGGAUCCGUUGCUCAAACCGAAUCACGGCAACGUUAUGGAAGUUCCUGGAUCGUCGACAUAAAGGAAGGUCUCAUUCCAGUUUGAUUUCCAUGCCUGCAGGAAAGAAGAUCGAGAAUGCCGAACUAGUGAAUACAGAAAGCAAUUGAAGGCGUUCUAGUUUGUUCAAUGUAGUUUGAAGACCUACAACAAGAGGACCCCUAUAAAGCCCCUAGUUGCCAAAGAUCAGGAAGCUCUUUGUUAUGAAGAAGCCACAAAUAAAUCAGAGGAAAAUUAGGGUCUAAAUCAUAUAGGGGUUGGCUACGGGCGGCACCGUAUAGCUAUAACAUUCUGCGUGUGUAGCACCUAGCUGUCUCUCAACCAUUUUUGACACCCAUCUGAUCAGUAAUCAUCGAAAACCUACAGGAUGAGAACGGCUUAGUUUCAUUUGAAACAUGGGAUUUCACACUGAUAAUAUCAAUGUAGCCUUUACCCUGUCAUUACCAGUCACACAUCAGAGUAGGCAAAUAGUGAAAAAAAUGAUUCAUGAACUUAGAAUCCCGAUCAGAAGUGAUAGUUUGUUCCAGGAAUGCAAUGGAGCCUAACAAUCUCUCGAAAGUAGAGGUCACCAAGUUCGAAGAGCUACACACUCCCGAAAGCGAGGAAGCCGACCAAUUCCUUCAAAGGGAGGGAAUGAAAGUUGGCGACCCAGAAGAAAAAAAAAGAGUGGAAUAUAUUUAUACCUGUGGUAUGAACCCCUUACGGGCCGCCAAGGCCCUACAGAAUCCCCAUUCUAAAACCGCUAAUCAUAAUCUUGUUAUGACUGUCCCUCUUACGGGGAACUCUUUUCAGGCAGCACUAAUCAAAUAAUAGGGAGGAGAAAGAGGAAAUAGCAAAGAAUCAAAACCUUCCCCAAUAAAUAUAGGAUUCGUCGAAUGUGAAUUAGUGAGCAAAGUUGAUCAAAAAGUAUGGUGUACUUUUUCUCACUUGGAAGGGUAAGGAUCGGUUGGAUACCUUGGAGGCACCAUAGAUUGCACCAUUGGCAAUGGCGCUUUUGAGUGCCCCUAACCUUGAGGGGGCCAUAGAUCGAGUUCUGGGCUAAGGUUACCAGUUUCGCAGCCCUUCGAAACUCCCUUCUGGAAAAGGUUCAGUAGAUCUACUAGGUUACUAGAAAUGACCAAAGAACAAAAAAAACUGCACCUAGUGAUGAGCUUGACUGGUACUCUAACAAGAACGCGGUCCAAUCUAGCAAAGCUGGCUCAACGUAUGCUCUAGCUCCGAUACGGAGGGCUUAUGAGUCACAGAAUUUGAAGCCAAAAAAACAAGGUAAGAAAGGUGGAGCGGCCUCACACAAAAAGAUUUGUCUAAGCAAUCUUAAAGAGAUUUUCAAUAAGUCAAUACCAAGAUUUACUUUCUGCGCCUACUAAUGUGAUGAUAAUUCAGAAGCUUUUUUGCAAAGAAGAAGGGCCCUGUUCCUAUGGGUUCACGUGCUAAGGCUCCACACUCAAACCUCAAGGAAGGCAGGAGAUUGCGGAGUAAUGGAAGACAGAAGGAUUUUCACUUGAUUAGAUGGGAUUGCUUCCUUUAGCACUCCAACAGACUCAAGGAUGAAAAAAAAAGGUUCCACACGACCAAGGAAGCAUCGAUUUUUAAUCUCAUUAUGACUUGGUCGUUCGGAAGAGAAAUUAAUUCGAUCAGAAGAGUGGAAUGGAAGGCUGUAAAAGAAUGAAAUACUCCUUUCUUUUCCAAUCGCCCCAUGAAGACAGACGCUCGGAAAGGUUCUCAAGAUUCUCAAUCGCUCUUUUUAGUGGGGAGAAAUAGUGUAGGGGCUUUGUUUAGCCGCCUAUGUAGUAAGAAAAACUCUGAGUUUGACGUUGAAUAGCCAUAGUGAGUUCAUCACCAGUGGCAUAAGCAGAAGAGGCAUAUGGGGUGGGGAGAAAGGCAAUUUACCUUUCUCUCUAGGAACCUUUUGAAGGCAGGGAGUGUGACAAUGUACACGCUUCCCUUUACUCCAUAGGUCCUUCUCAUCAGUUGCAGGGUUUGGUGGCCCGAAAUUGACUUGGCUUCGCCAAAAAGCCUCAUCUCUAAAAACCCGACUCGCGAGGCGUCCCUCUCGCAGUAGGGUUCCAACCUCGCCUCGCUCUUGUGACAUGCUAUGUUUCCCUUCUCUAUUCCCAAGUAAAGGGUGAGUCCCAUGCAUCAGUUUGUGGAUCGCGAUCUCACACACUAAUCCCUACAGGUGCUCAUAGUAGGCCGGCCGCCCUACCUAAACUAAUCGUCAUAUUGGUCCCUAGGCCCCAUUGCUGGAAAGGAGAAUCAUAGAACGAAUGAAAGAUGGAGACAAGGGGCGAAGGAUAUUGAUGAUAUUCGGAAAGAUUUCUGUUCAUUUGCUCUGCUCGCAGAGCUGUAUACCAAAAAAAAAAGAGACUUGUCAGAAAUCGCCGGUUGGUUUUGUUUAUCCAACCAAGAAAGGCAUGGGGCUUUUGGGCAUGGUAACUAAACACUUAGUUAGCGUUAGAUUUUCUUUUGAUUUCACCAACUCAGGUCUUUUAUUAACAUACGAUAAUAUUUUGCCAACUCACAGGUGUAAGCGCUAUAGUACAGUGUUGACUAGUGUGCUUUGGUGUAACCGGGGAGCUGGAACCAAAGAAAGACUAUACUCGGCGUCCCUUCCUCUUAUCAGGCAGCUAUCUCGAGCUCAUUGAACACUAAAUUUCUUCUUUUUUUUAUAAUCGUCAAAAUUCUCUCAAUUGUGCCCCCACUGCCAUUGGAGCACAAAGGAUGAAAUAUAAUCGAUUCCUCUAUUUAAGUGGUUGUCGCUUCUCCUUGUUCCUAUUACUAACUCCUCCCCGGGUAGUUCCCAAUGUUUGUCACUUUCCAUACUUCAUAGGUGCAACAUCAACAAAUUCGCUCAUGAUCAAGUUACAAGCCAAGAUCUAUGACCAUAUUAUAUUAACUGUUCGUAUUUCGUUCAUUCCAUCGGUAAGGAGGGGAAAGCCACUUGACUGGUUGGAAAGGAGCUCUGACGUUGGAAUUCAAUAGUGACAGAAAUGGUCAUCUUUGCUCUACAGCUACUGGUGUCAUCGCCCUGCAAAGAGGUGGAACCAACCACCUUCACUAUUUCGGAUAGUAUUUAUGGUUCUACCUUUUUCUUAGCAAUUGCCUUUCAUGGUUUUCAUAUGAUUAUAGGUACUAUUUUCUCGAUCAUAUGUGGUAUUCGUCAAUAUCUUGGUCUUCUGACCAAGGAGCAUCACAUUGGCUUUGAAGCAGCUGCAUGGUACUGGGGAUCUUCCUUUCAAAUUUAAGCGUCUAUUCCGCUUUAUCCUUUCAAUAAUUAUAUUGAAUAAAGACAAAUUGAUCCACGGGUAUUUUGAUGCUCGAUCUCGGCAUAGCUUUAUUGAAUCCUAUGGGAAUACGAUAUCCUCCCUCACUAGUAUAGUACAGGUACUCUAUUUGAAUUUGAUUAAUAGGCCCUAUCCCUAGUUCAAGGACUUGGCAAGAUUCCCGACAGACAAAUGGUGGAAGAUUUCAACAACGAUUCUUCCCUUAGCCGAUUAUUACUCUAUCCUUCUCAUUGUCUUAUCGUAAACUCCUAUCUCUCCUGCUUUGAACCCACACUCAAAGGAGGACCACAGGCUCGGGGCUCGACGAAACAAAAAGUUUCAGCAUGUUGAAAAUGGAGUUAGCGUGAAAGAAGGAGCCCGGAAUUUAUUUCUGAAUGAAUAUUCAUAGCUGAGUCUACUAAAAGAGGGACCAGCUGGCCCCCACUAGUCCGGCUAGCUAGUGAGCGAUUCUUUUGGGCGGGAAGCAGGCCGAACCCUAUGGGCGGGCAUCUCCCACAACACAAGCACCAUUGUUCGACACCACCCGAGAAGCUCUUCCUUUUCAGUCCCCACCCUCAAGUGAGAAGGAUAUUCUGUUGCUAUCGACUCUAGUGAUAUUAUUCAUUCAUAUCCCUCAAUCAAGCAAGCGAAGGGGGCUAGGUUGUAAUACAAAAUCGUAACCAUUGAUUUCGGAGGACUUAAUGAUUAUUCGUUUGUCGGAACCAGAAGUUCCAAUUUUGGUAGAUAGGGAUCCCGUAAAAACUUCUUUCGAGGAAUGGGCCAGACCGGGUCAUUUCUCAAGAACGAGCUUUCUUUUAGAAGGCUUGGUUCUGGAAGAUGACCUGAUGGAGGAAGGCCCUCCUAAUAAUAUCCAUAAAUGACUUGUUUUUGGUAAUAGAUGAAAAUUACCGUAUGUAAAUUCGGGUGCAUGAUAGACAUCGGUACUCCAGUGUAUUUCUCCGUCUGAAUCGGAAUAAAUAUGUUUUCGAACCUUCUCUUUAAAAUUCAAAGUGGAUAUUCCUGUGCGAAUCUCAGCAAUUACUUGUUCUGAUUCUACAUAUUGAUCAUUUUGAACUAGUGAAGACGACGUCGAGUUAACGGUAGAGAAAGACUCGGCAUUUAGGAGCAGGAGCAGAAGCACUACGAAGAACAAGAAGUUCGUCAGUUUAAAGAUUCAUUUCUACCAGGUGACGGACUAAUAAGUUUAAGAAUCUGAGAAAAGGUUGUUUUUGAAAUGGCUAUGAGAGAGUACAUAGAGGAGUUUUUUGACCUCCUGUCUCUACGAUGUAGAGUGAAGAAGGGAGAUAAGAGGGCAAUAUUCGAGCUGACUUUUUCUAAGCACGAAUUGCAUUUGUGUUUGAUAGAAAGCAUAGGAAUUUGUCCAUUUUUUGGGGUCUCAAAGGGGCGUGGAAACGCAUAAGAACUCUUGAAUGGAAAAGAGAUGUAACUCCAGUUCGUUCCUUCGAAAUCGGUAGUUAAUCCUAUUUCCGAUAGGGGCAGUUGACAAUUGCAGGAUACAGAGAGAAAGAUAUUGAAUGAGUUUAAAGAGCAUUUAUCUAAGCUAAGCCCAGUUAAUCCUACUAUCUUCAGGAGCUAAGCCUGGCCUCUUAUAAGUCUCAAUUGAGGCAAAAAAAAGACGGAUUCUUAACCCGAUAGGGGAUCUUGCUACAUAGCUUCAUAUCUAAUCAGCUGAUAUACUGAUGCAGGAAAAUUCUUCUAAAGAAGACGUGUUGAGCUUUCUUUCCUUCAGGUUCAUAGGUUCGUAGGAGGAGCCUUAUGUCGUAGGCCCUUCUUGCUAAAAAGUGGAGUUUUGACUGACUCUCUAUGCGAAUUCGUAGGUUUAAUUCCUACUGGAUGCACGCGAAUGGGACCCUCCAAUAAGUCUGGCAGAAAAUGCCGAUUCCAACCCCCAAGAAGCCUUACUGUACUUUUUUAAUGAGAAACGCCAUGAACUUGACCAAGAGGGCGGAACCCGUUAGUAAAAUACCGGAGAGAACUCUGCUUUUCGAAUCAACUUUUACAUGAUCUUCGAAAAAAUGGAAUAAACUUCGUCUAUUUCAAUAUUCCAUUUGGGUAAAUAGAUACGAGAUCUCGUCGUCGAAGUGACGUGAGAAAUUUUUGUUAUAUGUGCCUGAAGCUGCUAUAUUUGCUUUUUUGGCUAUACUUAGACGGACGAGUGGAAUGGAUCGGAUGGGAGAGGAAUGGAAAGCUAGGAUCGCUUGGUAAGCAAGCAGGCACUAACUCCCAGUUUUUUCUCUUCUUUCUUUUUGAUUAGAGAUUUGAGAUUCCGUAAGUAACUCAGUGAGUGCUUUCUAAGAAGGUCUUGGAAGAAGAAAAUGAAAUAGGAACAACCGCGCUGGUCGGAAUUGAUCGACUUUCAUGCUAGUUCUUGCUCCAGCAUGAAAGAUCUAUUUCAGGGAAGGACGACGUACUAUGAUACUUUCCGUUUUGUCGAGCCCUGAUUUGGUCUCUGGUUUGAUGGUUGUACGUGCAAAAAAUCCGAUACAUUCCGUUUUGUUUCUCAUCCCAGUCUUUUGCAACACUUCAGGUUUACUUCUUUUGUUACGUUUUGACUUCUUCGCUAUGAUCUUCCCAGUAGUUUAUAUAGGAGCUAUAGCCAUUUUAUUCCUAUUCGUUGUUAUGAUGUUCCAUAUUCAAAUAGCAGAGAUUCACGAAGAAGUAUUGCGCUAUUUACCAGUGAGUGGCAUUAUUGGACUUAUCUUUUAGUGGGAGAUGUUCUUUAGUUUAGAUAAUGAAAGCAUUCCAUUACUACCAACCCAAAGAAAUACGAUGUCUCUUAGAUAUAUGGUUUAUGCCGGAAAGGUACGAAGUUGGACUAAUUUGGAAACAUUGGGCAAUUUACUUUAUACCUACUAUUUCGUCUGGUUUUUGGUUUCUAGUCUUAUUUUAUUAGUAGCCAUGAUUGGGGCUAUAGUACUGACUAUGCAUAGGACUACUAAGGUGAAAAGACAAGAUGUAUUUCGACGAAAUGCUCUGGAUUCUAGGAGGACUAUAAUGAGGAGGACGACAGACCCGCUCACGACAAUAAGGAGAAGCAGUGGUUCGAAUCCAUAUCGUGAGCUUAAGUAAGCCUUCUGACGCAUCUAUUUGUGUCAAGGGUCCUGGAUAUAUAACUGCUCAAGAUAUCAUCUUGCCUCCUUAUGUAGAAACCGUUGAUAAUACACAACAUAUAGCUAGUUUAACAGAACCUGACAUCGGUAGAAUCUACCUACAAUUCCUUGUAUGUUCGAUAGAGCCAAAGAUUCCCCCCACUGAUCGGAGUACGCCGAUUACCCCCCGAACCGUACAAGAUAGUUACCACCUAUCAUAUGGCUUUCUAACUUCACUUCUUUUUCUGGUCGUUCUGCUCUGUCGAUCGAUUUCAAUCUCAACAAAGAAAUAAAAGCAUAACUCUUUGCUCGCUUGAAGCUCCUCUUAGUCUUUUAUUUUAGCCUGCCUUGUGAAGAUCUCUCGGGUUUUAUUAAUGCUUUUGUGGAAAGUUGAACCCAACGAGCAAAAUAAAAUGGAGUGAGUAGUAUGAAGCUACGUCUUCCUAUUCAGAUAUUGGUCAUUUCCGCCAUCGGAAUAUGCUGUACCGUAAUGCAAGAGAUCCUAUUCUUUGGACCAGAUGAAAAGAAAGUGAACCGAAGUCGACUCGACGCAAGUACGAUAAAAAAGCAGUUCAGUAAUCCGGGAAAGUUUACAUCUAUUUUGUAUUUGUAGCAUUUUGGCGACAUGGCCGAGUGGUAAGGCAGAGCACUGCAAAUCCUUUUUUCCCCAGUUCAAAUCUGGGUAAAACCCGAGUGAUAUCACCCGCAGGUGGUAUGCCUGAGCCGCCACUGCUUUGUCCUUUUCACUUCUUAUUACUCCUUUCGUUCAUUUUUUCUAACAUUUCUAGUACCAACUAAUUCAUUUGGGCGAGAAAUCUUACAGCUUGAUUGCGAAGCAUGGUUUCGAAAGGUCAGCUGAAAGAUAGUAUAUAUCAACAUUCAAACCUAUUCCUUUGUGGCUGGCCUCAGUGCUUAACGUCAGGUUCCCUCCACAUACAUAUGAAAAGUAAGCCAACCGUAUUAGCUCAUCAACUCGCCAUGUAUAAAGACAUGUGCAAUAUAUUGAAUGGGCUUCAGAGACAAGGAUUUCAGAUAAAUUCGAAUAUAUUGGAGUUCAUUAAGAAUCAUCGUGCUACUUUAGAAAAAGUAGUUCUUCUUAUGCCAGGUAUACUGGCACACGUGAAUCUGAAAGAAUCCUACGAUCUUCUGAGGAAAUCUUAUUUCCUGAAUAAGGAUAUAAAGAACGUUUGUAGCCUUAGUGAUCUCUUUAAGGAAUUAGCAAAUAGGGUGCAGACAGCUAGGUAUGAAGAUUUCAUAAUCAGGCUAACGUCCGCAUACGAGGGUUAUGUCUUUUAUCUGCCUGCCUUUAUGGACUUUCGUGGAAGAAUCUACCGCUGUGGUAUCUUUCAUUUUCAUAAGCGUGAUUUAGCAAGAAGUUUCAUUCUAUUUUCCAACAAUACUCAAGAAGGAAUCAACCAGUCAGCUAAGGACAUAGUAGCCACAUCAGCUGCCUUUAAGUAUAAGAAAUUCGAUCUUUAUCGUAUGAUAAUUCAAACUUUUAGAACUCUUAGACAUAUGGAAGACCUAUACUAUUGAUUUCCCGAUACCGAGACUCUACUCUAGAAAUCCAUAGUCUCUAGAUAGCCCUAGCCAAGGUUCCAAUUCUGAUAGACUAGCCUUGCCUUCCCCACAGAGGAGAUAGACUGGUCUAUAAAAGCUUCUGGAAUUAGAAGAAGGAAUGUUGGAGCUAUUCCCUUAGUGACAUUAGCAUCUUUCUUUCGAACAUUCGGACAUUAUAGGCUCUCCUCCAACAAAGGACUGGGAAAGAAAAACUCACAUUCCCGAAUAAGCAGAAAGUCUAGGAAGAUAUCAACCAUGGAUGGAAGGUCUCCUGUAAGCCAGAAGGUCCUACUAAGUGGUCUAAGUCGAACCUCUUCCUUGAAUGGUUAAGGAAAGCUUUUCAUAUAAUGCCUUUGUUCGUACCUGCCCUUCUUCUCUUUGCCCCCAUCCACCAUCCCUUAGCCUUAAAAACAACCAAACCACCGGUCAAUCGACCGACAGUGAACCAAAUCCGCGUUUUCAAACAAUGAAUCUAAUUCAAACUCUCUCAGGAAGCUCGUGGUUCUGGAGCCGACUGCCCGAACCAUCCAUACAAACCAUCUCCCGGCUAGAAAUGAGACCUGGUGGAGCAGCUUAGCCAGCCAUCUCGUUCCCCUCUUCCCCGCAUCUAAACCAUCCUUUAUUUUAUCUCAAUCUCUCGCGAGGGUACGUUUUCCAUCACGACUGACUGACCUGACGGUAGGAAUUGAUUGAGAUNNNNNNNNNNNNNNNNNNNNGAGGGGAAAACCUAGAAAAGAAAAGACCCAGAAUCACGUCUAACAAUCUAUUGGGGGGAAAUCAAUAAUGAAGCAGCAGGCAGAGUCGUUUGAUGACACGAGGUUCCUAUAUACCAUCAUCUCGAAUCCAAAGGCAUAACAAUAGGUAGGCAUCUUCUCGAUGAUCUAUAAAAAUAUCUAAAGGUGAACCAAUAGACAGAGAGAGAUGCUCUUCCUGCGGCCCAAGAUGAUUCUUGAUAGCAGGAGAAAUAGAGUCUUUUUUUGGCGAGUGUAGGGGAGCCGAAGGAGAUUCCAACCCACAUUACUGACUAACGGUGGAUAAUCAUAUUUCUUAGAGGUACUAAAUACAACUCCAUGAAUGAGCAAAAUGAAGGUUGCAUUAAUGAUAAGGAUCUCUGGGGAAACCGUCGUUCCUGUUCCUUAUGGUGCUUUUUCAACCCUUUGCUUCGCAACCGUCAUCUUUUAGCUGAUUAAUGAGUGUCAAAGAUAGACGUGUCAUGCCGCAUGAAGAAAGCUAUCAAGCAUUGAAUGAAGGGAGGGAGGCUCGGGAAAGGUUGUCGGAGUAGUGAUCGGGAUGAGAUAGAUGCCUCCCAGCCGGGGGGCGGAUCAAAUUGGAGUUUUCUUAGGUAGACACCGACCUAUAGUUAUCCUUAAACCUCCAUGCCAUUUCGUCGUUGCUCAUUCCCGUUAGGCUAAAAUGUUUGGCCUUUCCUUCUCCGCGCCCGCUCAGGCUUCGCUGACCUAUCGCAUGGGGCACCUAAGGUUUGAGGGGAAUUAGAAAGGGACCUCUCACUCAAUUCAAUAACAUGUUCUAGGGCAUAUUUUUCUAAUAAUAAUGUUCGCAUUUGACCAGGCUUUUUGGACGUUCCAUGAUUAAACCAACUAGCACAGGAAAGAGAGAAAGAGGGGGAACUAGAUGAGCUUACUACUCCAACUGUAACUGGAUCGAAAAGAGAGUGGACUGAGCAUCUUUUUCCAAUUUCAAAGAUCUAAGUAAAUUAAACAGAUACUCGUUGGUCUGAAUUGUGCAGGAUCGAGCCCUAGCCUUGGAAGUCAUCCAUUCAAGCCUUCCCAGUCCUUUUUAUUAUUUCUUGAUCGGACUUUCUAUAUCCAUAUGAUAUGAUAUGGCUUUCAAGCUUUCUAGCCUAGGUUUGUGUGAAGCAUGAGAACAUGAGCAAGCACAGUCUUUCGCUACUCGUGUGACCCCGCCUCAUGGCUUUUAGAAGGGCCUAAAGUGCAUGAUGAUUCGAUUUCUGAAAUAUAGAAAUAUAAAGAAAAAGGCCUUCUCUUGCUGUUCUCUUUCUUUCUCUCUCCUAUUAAUUAUUAACAUAGCAAAGUCUGGUUCUAUUGAGAGUGAUACCCGCCUUCUACAAAGUGGUUUUUGAAAAGGUCUUUAAAUGACUCUUCGUCUCCAGUUCCAAAAGGUUUAAUGAAUGGCUUUUUUCUCUGCCCACCACCCAUGAAAAGACAGACUAUAUAGGGCCGCCCGCCCUAGUUCAAAUACCAUUUUAUCCUACCUCACUCACCGUCCCUCAGGCUUAAAAUCCUUUUCGUUGUCACCACUUACCUAGAUCGAUAUGGCUAGUUUUCUAGGAGAUUUCUAGCUUGAAUCAAGGCUUCAAAGACCCUCUCCUCUCUCUGUAACUAGAGAGGUAGGCAACCUGAGUUUAGAGCCACCUCGAUUCAGGAUGUCGGAACAUCAACCAGAUCGGAAACUGAAUCCUAAAGUGACUUCGGAACAAGUUUGAGAGCUUCGAUCGAAAACCUUUCCUAUCUAGUGUCAGCUGAUCCUUCAGCGUCUGCACCAACUAAAUCAGAAGCAACAUUCGAAAGACGAGAGUAGGCUCGAGGAGGAUCAAAAGACUGAUUCUCGGUCCCCUAAAGUUAGAAAGCUGGUUAGACUGCAAUCUAUGCCUAUGGAAAGAAAAGUCACAAAAAGCGAUCCAUAUGAUCAUAAAGAAAGGCUUGUCUAUACAUCUUUUUAGCGUACGCGCGGUUCCUUUCGAUUGUAGCCUGUCGCUACCUGGAUCAAUCAACCUAUUCUAGUUCGCCUUGUGUCAUCCGAUUUUAGGGAAUUCAUUGGAUCAUGAAGUUGCUUCACACCUGGCCAUAUCGAGGGAAUACAAAUGAACUUGCCCUUAAAAAAAGAGAAAAGAACUAGAAUGGGAGAGGAUGGUCAUUGAGAAAGAUUCCUCAACAGGUUGGUCAUUUGUCAGGACGAGAAUGUGAGUUCUUAUUAUUGGUGAGCCGCUGCCCCUCAUACUCUUCUUUCCAUUUUUGGGUCGCUCUUCUUAUCUGUCGUACCCCCAAUCCUCCUUCAUACGAAGGCAUCAUAACAUAUACAUCAAAUCAAGAUCAAAUAAAAGAUUCUCCAUCCUUUCUUUAUACUCGUCUAUCCCUCGAUCGACUAGAUGGGCCUAGGAUAAGGUAUUAAAAACCAGUCGAUAUGCGGGGUGAUCGAACCGACUCAUCUACAACUCAUCUUUGAAAACAAGAUGCGCUCCUACGUGAGGAGGGGGGAAAUGAAAGUAAGAACCAUGCACAUGGAUGAAAGAGCGUGCUUUGAGAGAAGAGGGGAAGAAAGACUAUAGAAAGGCUAAGUGAAGUACUUAUAAGGACUUCUUUAACAUUCUUAUUUCCUCCUCUUGCUUAUCACCUUCUUUCCCCUUCCUCGCAUCCUAAUAUAAUAAAGAUCAAGAUAAGUAGCUCCAGGUCCAGAUAUCUCCCUUCGAGAUCACCAGCAUCAGUCUAAGUAGCUUAAGUUUUUUGAGGAAAAAGGUAGAGAAGGAAGGGUGGUUGAAGCAGGACCAUAAGAAGUACCUUUAGCAUUUCAAGUACCUGGUUCAGAGCCAGGACAUCUUUGGCAUAUCCACCAACAGCGCCUUUGGCAUGAUAGGCAGGCAUCAUAUCUUGAUCCAUCGGUAGCAGAGCCACCGAGGGAAUCGAGUGAAUAACCUUAACGAUCAUUUUAGAAGUAGCACUUUACUAGCCUGACGACUCAAAGCAAGGUCGAAAUCCAUCCCUCUUUUUAAAACUAAUUAAUUAACAACCCACCAAGCAAGGGCACGUUGCGCGGUAGUAGCCAAUUCAAGGAAGUGAAACUAAGACAGGAAACUGCCCCUUUUUUUGACUUUGUUGUAAGUAAGACCCUGUCCUCUUCCCUUUCGACAUCAAGAUAAUUGACGAAGGUGGUGCUUUGAACAUUUUUGCUGAUGACGAAAAGAUAAACAUCUACCCGAUAUACCAGCAAUCCUUCUAUGCGGAUACCCCUUUUUUACUCUCAACCAUUGCCGAGAAGAGAAAAUGCUCAAGGUUCUAUAUAUUCUUUCUUUAUUCAAUUCAUUCCUAUCCUUUUAGUUUUCAGUCCCCGGUUUCCUCUCCAAGCCAAUCGAUCGCCUUCUUAGUUAACUGCGGAACCCGCCCUUUAGCCAUCUAUCUUUAGAUACGGAGGGCUUAUGAGUCACAGAAUUUGAAGCCAAAAAAACAAGGUAAGAAAGGUGGAGCGGCCUCACACAAAAAGAUUUGUCUAAGCAAUCUCAAAGAGAUUUUCAAUAAGUCAAUACCAAGAUUUGCUUUCUACGCCUACUGAUGUGAUGAUAAUUCAGAAGCUUUUUUGGAAAGAAGAAGGGCCCUGUUCCUAUGGGUUCACGUGCUAAGGCUCCACUAAAAAUGCUCUUUUUCAAAAGAGAGGUUUAAGGCGCAUUAAUCACGCCUUGAAGGAGGGAAGUAGUGGAGUAGGAGAGGUAAAUAUGGAUGGGAAUAGAUAAGUAAGAGAGAAGGUGACACCAGCUAGCAGAACAGAUGAAAUGAGCUGAAAUCCCCAGGAUGGAAAGAAGCUUGAAAGAGAGAACCAAGAAUGAAAUAGUGAGACCAAACGAGCAAAAAGCCAUGAAGGUUGACGAUAAGAGCGUAAGACUUUAUGCGAGAGGGUAGAGCCCUUGAUCCUUUCAAGAAUGUAAUUAUCCUGAAUAUUAUAAGGAGGCAAUUUAGAACCUUUUUUUAUGGCAUCAUCCGGGGUUAUCAGCCCCGAUUGGAAAGUUGGAAAACUUUCCAAUUAGGAUAUUCCGAGCACAUAGUCAUUUAAAACUACAUAGUUAUUCUAAUGGUACUGAAUGGAGCACCAACAAGGGUUGUAUCCGAUUCUAAGAACUUUAUUGUUCUCUGAUGAGGAUUAAUAUCUUGUUGUAAUCUCUAGUUCCUCCCAUACUUUACCUAUGCGAAGGCAGAAAUGGUAUAAGUGUUCAGGUGAACAAAGGUGAUCUAUGGUCUAAAGCAGUCUACUCGGGCUUGGUUUGAGAUAUGCAGUUUGGUUAUGACGAAGAUAGAGGGGUUUACAGAGAAGGAAUGCUGUGGGUUCAUAAAAAACAGAGGAAACUACCGUUAUCCUAGUGUACUCAGUUCUAUAAAUUAACAAGUCAAAUUCUGAGAUGAGUCAUAAAGGCAGCUAGUAAGCAAGUAGAGUCAUUUCUGAAGUCGAGCGAGCGCUUAGAGAUUUUCAAUCAAAGUCAGAAUUCGCAUAGAGAUGAGAGUCUCUAUCGUGGAGCUCGGUAAUUUUCCUUAAAAAGGCUACCGAUUCUUGAACAGAAAGAUGACCUAAGGCCAUAACUGACGUUCUCGUUAUUGGACACGUGAGAUAUCCCGGCUUUAGAGCAUUGAUUUCUCCUUUCGUUCUUCUUUGCGAAGGCGAAGCAAGAAUAAAAAAGACAUUUAUUUCAAAACUAUGAGGUGGGAAGAAAAGAGAAAAGAAAGGGUUUUGAAGAAAGCUACGGGAAAGUCAAAUCAUUUCUUUUUUAUCGAUGAGAUAUAUAUAUGCAAAAGGAAUAAUUCUAGCUAAAGAGAUAAGAUCCCUGUGCCUGACUAAUGGAAGCAAGGGACCAAGUUAUUCUCUAUAACCAUAAUAUAAAACAAGUAAACUUGGAAGCUUCGAAGCGGACUUUAAAGAAAUGUCAUAUAGGGAAAGUCCAGCUUCAAAUCCAACUUCUAACUCCCUCAUCUUAGAGUUCUCGUUAGAGCAGAAGUAAGGCACGAAACGAAGAGCUCAAAGUCAGGCAAGGCAGUCUAAGAGGCUAAGGAAGAGUUGGGGUAAUGUUGUCUGUGCCAAUUGAAGUCAUUCUAAAAGCUCCUUCGUUUGUGUCCCAGUUGCCGAUCAAGCUAAUAAAGACUAAAAAAGACCAAUCACUUGCUUAUUUGCCAGAUUGGGUUUUGGUUACAGAUGCGAUUGAUUAUGCCAUUCUUGCUUUCGGUGGAAGAGAAUGAUGAAGAUCUAGGCAUGCACAUUCAUGGAGAGGCCAAGUGAUGGGUUACGGUUCUGCGACAGGUGAAGUUUUGGUUGGAAAUGCCUUUUUGGGUGACUCUUUCCUUUGAUAACAUGCUUUAUCAGUGGAAGGUGUCGAAUGAUGGCCGACUUGUCUUUUCGAUUGAUUGGCUUACGGAUGGAAGGUUCGGACAAGAAUUCCUAGGCCGAGUAUUGGGCUUUCAGGAUCAAAAAAUCUUAAGAAUUUCCUCUCUUACUUUCAUCUUUGGUUGAUGAAUUCAGAAUGCCCCUCCAUUUGAAUGAAAGCCCUAGGGAAUAUGAAAGCUAUCCACCGGAUCUUGGAAACAAGGCACACAGGCCCCUGAGCUGAGCUCCUUUCGCUUCGACCCAUGAAUCUUUCUAUCUAUUAAUCUUUAUCUUAACCAAAAGGAAUUCUCUUUUUCUAGUCUUAUUUCUAACUAAUACAAGAAGAAUGCUGUAAGAGGUUACUAAUUAUGCUAUUCCUUCUGUCUUCCCUCACCUCCAUAUUCAACUAGAAAACGGUUUAAGGAGUGCCCUUCGCACCUUACUUUUUCUUUUAGCCUUUGUGCCCCAUUUAAAGAGGACAUAAGAUGACAUCUUAUUCUACGUCAUUUGCUUUCCUUAGGACUAGACUAAGCUAAACCAUGUCUUUUUUCAUUGGCAUUAACCUACUUACUUUGACAGUUGUGAUUCUACUUUCAUGUCUUGGAUUGAGCUUUCACCCCGGCACCUGCGCAUACGUGCUCCUUUACUGCCUACGCUCACAAAAGAUAAAGCCACUCACACGAAUCCAUGGACCUUACUUACUGAAGAAAGAUUUUUCUACCCUUUACUUCUCUAAUAGCCCCGUUGAAUAGACGGAUUCUUGACCUCGCCAAAGAGAUUCACUUAAGCUUCUAGCUGGCUUCCGUCACUUCCUUUCAGCUGCUCUCGCUUGAGAGGAAAAGGGUGUCUCUUCCCGUACUGUCUGAGUUCACAUUCCCUGAUCCUGCUGUUAUUGCUUGACUAGCUUGCUUCGAAAGCUGUCAUGUAAGAAACCAAAGAGGAUUUCUAACAAGGGGAAGAAAGAAAGCUCCUAGCGUUAGAGUGAUGCUCCUAGCAUAUGCCGGUAAGAAUUCAAUCUUUGGAAAAAUGAAAGUUGUUGCCAGAGGAAGCCUCUUAGUAGCUAAGGUGAAGCCUGAUUUCGUGUGGUUUACGACUUUCAAAGUGCUUUCUUUCUUUAUCUUCCCCAUCUAUUUACUUAGCUAACAAUCGUAUAGAGCGUGAUACCUGCCCUCUAAAAUGGGAUUUAGGAAGCAGACUCCUCACCCUAUAGUAAAAAAGCUCUAUGUAGCGCUUUAGCUUUUGCAUUUUACAAAAAGGAGCUAAGCAAGGGGAGAUCUUAUGCCCGGCUAAUUGAAUGGAGUUCCCGGCUUUAAAGAAUUAAGUUCAAGUACCGAGGAGAUUCACGACUCAGAAAAAGACUUGACCCUUCCCAAUCCCAAUGAGAGAGCAGUCUCUGGAAGCUGAAAUGCGACAUUUAAAACCCCUCAUGUUAACAGAACCACUGGAAGGGGAUAAAUGUGCCAUUAAAGGGCUUUUAGUGGCCUAUGAAAAGGAAUCUUUCUAUAAUUGCACUAGCGCACUAGACCGGUAACAGAACAUAAAAGAUUCUCUCUUGACUACGGCACCCGCGGUGAGCCUCUCGCCCGAAAGAAGGUUACCUUCACAAAGGCCCGUAAUCCAACUAAGCGAAAGAGGUCUAUCUCUUCCAACAUUUUCUUACUUCUAUCCCCUUGAAUAGCAAAGUUGCCCGAAUCUCGUAAGGCCAAGAGUUCUAUCAUUUCUCUCUGUCAACUCGAAGUCUAAGGCAAGGAACCUUCAAUUCCAUUUUCUUUUCUUUUCAUAGGCUCUUUUAUUGAGACCAAAUCCUUUCUUCUUUCAAAAGAGUUCCCCCCUCCCGCUAUUACUACUACAAAGAGACUAGCCGCGGUAAGAGAUUCAAUAGGACUGGAGUCGUUCAAAGCGAAAGAAGUUCUGAUCACAGCUUCUCAAACAAAACGAAUUAGGGGAAAAAGAGCAUUUAUUAUAGAGUAUAUAACUUUGAUCAUAGGGAUCAAUUUCUAGUCGCAUAGCUUCAAAAUAAUUCUUCAAAGCUUUCGCGUAAUUUUCUUCAAAUUAAGCCGACAUCCGUUACGGUUGUCAUUCAAUUGAAAGAAUCUCCAUUCCAAAACCGUACGUGAGAAUUUCACCUCAUACGGCUCCCCCCUUUAUGUGCAUAAUAAGAAUAAUUCAUAGAAUCAAAAAAAAAAAAUUUAGAGCCUGAGUCAAUCGAUAGUUGGGAGCAACUUGAAGGUGAAUUCCUUAACCGUUUUUAUAGAACUCGUCGUACAGUGAGUAUGAUAAAGUUGACGAACACCAAGCAAAGAAAAGAUGAACCAGUAGUGGACUUCAUCAAUCGGUGGCGAGCAUUAAGUUUAGAUUGCAAGGAUCGCCUCUCAGAAACUUCUGCCGUCGAAUGUACACCCAAGGAAUGCAUUGGGGUCUUGUGUAUAUCCUCCAAGGAAUCAAGCCACGUACUUUCGAAGAAUUGGCGACACGAGCUCAUGACAUGGAAUUGAGUAUUGAAAGCCACGGAAAGACUUCACCUGUUUUAGAUCCAAGGAAGGAAGCUAAAGAAUUCAAUCAACCGUCAAAAUACCAAACUAAAGAAUCCAUGGCGGUGGGAGCAACUUCUGUAAAGUCCCCCACUAAACAAAAGUUGAAAUAAAAAGCUCCAAGUCCGCGGCCGAGAGAAGAGAAAAGCCAGCCAACUUUGAAGGAGUUAGAAGCGAAGGCCUAUCCUUUCCCUGAUUCUGACGUCCUCGCGAUUCUCGAUGAGUUGUUGGCCAAGAAAGUCAUUGACCUUCCAGAGUCAAAGCGACCUGAUGAAGCCAACAAAGUCGAUAAUCCCAAGUAUUGCAAAUAUCACCGCAUCGUCAGUCACCCUACAGCAAGAUGCUUCGUCUUAAAGGAGAAGAUCAUAACGUUGGUGAGAGAAGGGCUAUUCCAUAUCAGCUGUUAUGCUAGGUCAAAAAGGACUGAAAGAACUUACAUUAGGUCGUGACUUGAGGGUCAGGGGAAGGAGCGGUAAACAAGUAAAGAGGUCGACUAGUUCGACGCUUGAUUGAACUCAGCAUAGUUAGAGAUUAGAGGAGAUAGCCUUUCUUUCUAUUGCUUGAGUGGAAUCAGUUGACAAAAAGCUCGAACGUAAUUGAAUUCUUUCUUAACAACAAUAAAGGAAGAGAUGAUUUGGAGAAGAAUUCAUUUCUCUCCGAGCAGUAAAGUUCCAUAUCCGUCAGAGAGGGAUUUACCGGUCAUUAAGAUAGAGUUGGUGUCGGUAGCUGUUCUUGCUUAGCAGGAUCAGGUCACCAAUCGGUGACAUAGUUUAGGAAUGAAUAUCCGUAACUCCCAUUCUAGUACUUAAACUGACAAAAUGGAAUAAACAAUCAAGACCUGGCUCAAGGCUAACCCCUCCACACUUAGGGUCAGAAACGGGAAAAGAAGAAUGAGUAGGACAGGCUCGAGGUCAAUUCUUUCUUUUAGGAGAGAUCCCACCCCUUUCUUUAGUGCUUGUUCGUUCUAUAAGACUUCCUUCUCAUUCUCGGUGAAGGAAUCGGAGAAGUUCCACACCUUAGUGGAUUGCUUGAGUGUAGCGUACUGAUUCUUAUCGAGUUCUUAGUUACUUCGACUGGAUGAGUAUAAUUCAUUUGUUGAUUGUAUCAUUAACCAUUUUUUUUUUGGUAUGAGGAACGUCAUCAUGAAUCCAUUGAUUUCUGUCGCUUCCCUUAUUGGAAAUAAAAAAUAUAGUAAUUCAAACUAUAAAACAUAAGAGUAAUUCUAGUGAAAGCUGCUACGCCCUUGCUUCGCUCUUUCUCGCCUAACUGAGAAAGUAAAUCCCUGCCUUCGCAUGCAAUAGUUUUCUUACUUUCUCUCGAUCGCUUCAAUGCCUAUAAUUUGAGAGAUAAGAGGAAAUCCCUCUCUUGAAUUCGAAGAUGUAACACAAAUAAUGACUCUCUUCGCCGGGAUGUCAGAAGGUUAGGCAGCUCUAAGGUUUUUGAUAUUCGGUGGAAGGCAGGCUGAAACUCUACCCCAACCAAGUGAAACAAAGGGUCUGAAAGAGUUCACGAUCUGAUCUAUGGGGCCUUGGAAGGAAGGGCUUCGCUUUUCGAUUGCUUUUUGAGGCCGGUUUGGAUGAGCGUGGGCAAGUUCGGGAUUCGUAACCGAAAAUGAAUCAGGAACAGACUUGUCCUUAGGUUGAGUUUGCUUCACUUCCUGAGCCCUCACCACUUCCUGCGACAGCUAACAAGGGGCAUUUAGGAUAAAUCGUUCAUUUAGCACAACUUCAUUCCGCUCGGGCCUCUCUUUGGAAAGUCCCUUCUUUCCAAUCUAUAAAUAUAGUAUGGGCCCCCAUCGUCUAGUAGUUUAGGACAUCUCUCUUUCAAGGAGGCAGCGGGGAUUCGAAUUCCCCUGGGGGUAGGGUACUACGAAAGGAAGUUGAUCUUGGAUUACCAAUAAGUCUAAAAUUGAUUCUUCCUGGGUCGAUGCCCGAGAGAUUAAUGGGGAUGGACUGUAAAUUCGUUGGCGGUCGGAUGUUUUCAUGAGCAGUAAGCAGCAGAUCUCCUUAUAUUUUGGGAAAGCUAGUGGCCGCGUGUGAAUUCUUUCAAGGCAAGCUUCGCUCUUUCCCGCCUAACUGAGAAAGUAACUCCCUGCCUUCGCUCUUGUACUCCAACUCAGUAGCUUAUUCCGGAUAAGCGAGUGAAUUUCAAGCUGGAAGGAAAAAAAGUGAAGUAAGCAUCCAACUCUGGUACUACCAAAUGUAUAAACAAAAAGAAAAAAGGAAAAUCUUUUUUUUUUCGAAAAUUCUUCAUUCCUGGAAAGAGGAAGAAGCAGAUAGGACAAAGGCCUUCUCUUUCCAUCAGCUCUUGCCGAAGUGAGCGAAUUACAUGUAUAGAUCCAUAUGGGCUUAUAGUUUAAUUGGUUGAAACGUACCGCUCAUAACGGUGAUAUUAUAGGUUCGAGCCCUACUAAGCCUACCACUCCCUUCUCUUCGGAAAGGAUGAUUCAUUCGGAUCGACAUGAGAGUCCAACUACAUUGCCGUUGACUCAUUUUCUUUUCUUUGCUGAUUCCUCUCAAUGAAAUUUUUGGCUAUCAAACACGGGGUCAGAAGUGAAUUACGAGUCGGACCAAUCUGCGAAUCGAGCGAGAUCCCCUUGCAUGCAAUGAUGUGGUGGUAAACCGGAGAUUCAAAUCCAAGAAUUGUUCAUGCAUUCUAAGUCAAUAGUUAAUGGUUCCUAUUUUCAUAAAGUUGAAUUUUUGAUUUUGCGACUGAAAAUCCACAUUUGAUUUUUCAAUAGAUUUCAAUGGAAAGGUAAGAGAAAGUUUUGAACAUUA
rnacentral:lncRNA from 1 species